UGCGGCUAAUGGUUUUCUUAAAUACUGCAGGAAGUGGCUCGUGUGUCAUGAAGUGUCCUAUGGCAUUGAGACUUGGCAAGAGGAAAAGAUGAAAACGGAACGUGAGGGUCCUGGAGGCUGGCUUUCUGCAGGGGAAGUGUGUCUUUACAGCACAGUUCCCUCCCCUCCUUCUCAUUCUCUUCCUCUUUCUUCUCUCAGUUGGCUGCUAACCCACGGCAGAGCUGUAGCCAGUUCCACAGCAACCGUCUCAGUUACGGCCAAUAAAAUCCGCAGAGCCGCCACAUGUGUCUUCACGAAACAUAUAUUUGAUCCUGUCACUCUUCCCCUAAAACUUGUGCUGCCUCCCCAGUACUUUCAAAGCCAAGCCCAGAAUACCGCAACUGGCAGCCAGGAUCCUCCAAAACCCAUCCCCACCUUCCUUCCCAGUGUCACCGUCAUCGGCUUCCGUGGCUUUGUCAGUUCUGAGGCUUAUGACAUUUCUGCCACUUCCUAAUAGUCAGCAUUUCCAAGUGCAGCCCAAACGUGGUAUCCUCCCUCACAAGGCACUGCAGACCCGUAGCCCGGAACACUGCCGGCCGGGAGACCCGAGUCCCACCCUGAGUGUGCCUGUCUGUCUACUCCGUGUGGCGACAGGCUCCCAACAGCCCAGAGUGGGUGUCUGCUAAGCACAGAUUCUUCCACGAAGC
rnacentral:lncRNA from 1 species